rnacentral:rRNA from 1 species
GACGAACGCUGGCGGCGUGCUUAACACAUGCAAGUCGAACGGAAAGGCCCUGCUUUUGUGGGGUGCUCGAGUGGCGAACGGGUGAGUAACACGUGAGUAACCUGCCCUUGACUUUGGGAUAACUUCAGGAAACUGGGGCUAAUACCGGAUAGGAGCUCCUGCUGCAUGGUGGGGGUUGGAAAGUUUCGGCGGUUGGGGAUGGACUCGCGGCUUAUCAGCUUGUUGGUGGGGUAGUGGCUUACCAAGGCUUUGACGGGUAGCCGGCCUGGGAGGGUGACCGGCCCACGUGGGGAUUGGUAACGGGCCGACCCCCAACGGGGGGAAAGGGGGGGGAAAUUGUGCCAAAGGGGGGGAGCCGUAAGCAGGAAACCCCCGGGGGGGGAGGCGGCCUUUGGGGUUGAAACCCGUUUUGCCCUGGAAGAAAGGGGAGGGACGGGAAAUGGGUAAAAAACACCGGCCAACUACGGG